CUUCGAGUUAUUUCCUUACCAUCUGGAUUGUCUAUCUACUUUCUGAAGUAGCAAUUGAGGAGGAACAGUCAGUGAGGCUUGAACCAGUGUUACAGUAUAAGUGCACUAAGGCCCAGACCUCUUGGCAAAGGUUUCUCCCUCGCCGGCCCCUCCACCACUCCCCGCAAGCGACAGGUGCGAUUCUCCGCCCGCCACGACAUCCUGCUGCUCCGUGAGGUCAUUGCUCAGAACCCGUUCUGUUCCAAGGAGUCGGGUCGUAUCUGGGCCCGUGUCGGGGAGAUCAUCACUGCUGCCCUGCAGGACGAGAGCUUCGAGGUGGACUCCCGGCGUUGCAGGGAGAGGACCAUGCUACUGCUGGACUACUACAAGAAGCAGGACUUCCCCAGCCUACGCAGGUUUGGGACAGAGAGGCUGUAUGCCCAAAAAGAAGACCUACUCCACGAGGUUUUGGAGCUGGAGGCAGAGAAGGGUCUUCUGGCCAGCGGGGAGAGUAAGUACCAGGAUGAGGAACUCAGGAAACGAGCAUUGGAAGAGCUGGCUAGUCUACCAGAGCAGGACAAACCCAUCAUUAUCUCCACACAAACAGGACAACCCAAAGUCCCCACGACCCCAGAGCCCGAGGAGCAGCAGGAGGACCUGGCGGAGCUCUCGCUAGUCUCGGCGGCGCCCAUGGCCAAGCAGCCGUGCCAAUGCUGCUGCCAGACCUACUCAGAGAUCCUCAGCUUCCUGGAGAAGCGCUCGGAGGCGGAACAGCGACUGCGGGAGGAGGAGCUAUUGCUGAGGAGGGAGGAGCUAGAGAUUCAGAGGAGUAAGAUCACUCUGGAGAGAGAGAGGCUGGGGGCGGAGAGGAAGGAGAGGGAGAGGAGUUUUGAGCUGGAGAGCCAGGAAAGACAGGUCAUAUUGGACCUGCUAAAGGAAAAGGUGCUCAAAGGAUGAGAGGAUUGGUGGGGGGCAGGUGAGGGGCUGAAGGAACCCUAGGUGUAUGGUGUGGAUAUAACAUUAAGACGUUGGGAGGGUGGUACUACCUCUGGAUCCCACCCUCUGCCCCUUGUUCUACGCCAAUGGCCUUAGUGAAGGAAUCUGCUGUGACACCCAUAUCCAAGUGUGGAGAACCAUGCUUAGCAUUAAGCUAAGCUGGAUGACCGCGUUCCACAAGGACACUGACAAAAAAUAGGUAGCACAUCCUCACACUGUACAUACCCACACGUUAUCUUAUUAAUAGUGUGGGUAUAGAAUAACAAGCUGUUCAUCAAAGGUAAUUUUUAUUGUGAAAAGACAAAAUUGCCUCCCAAUGUCAAUUAACUCUUUAGUCAAUUCUGACGUUGUGGUCAUUAUUAUGAAGCUGUUCCUGCUGAAAAUUCAAGAAAGUACUACUAAUGAUAUGGGAUGGCUGCAAUCAAUUUUGAAACUGUAUUUGUCAAUUGAGGAAAGAGUGAAGAAAAGUUUAAUUAGGCUAGUUAGAUUUCUAGGAAAUAUGACAAAGUUGUGUAACAUUUAUUUUAAUUUUAUUUGUAUUAUAUUAAAUUAUACAUGACCUACCGUUCCCCCUGAAAUACCACUUUUUCAUAAUUUAAAACAGAAUAUGUUACCUACAUGUUUCUUCUUCAUAAUAACUCAUUACUUGAAC
rnacentral:lncRNA from 1 species